rnacentral:rRNA from 1 species
UACGUAGGGUGCAAGCGUUGUCCGGAAUUAUUGGGCGUAAAGAGCUCGUAGGCGGUCUGUCGCGUCGGCUGUGAAAACCCGGAGCUCAACUCCGGGCCUGCAGUCGAUACGGGCAGACUGGAGUUCGGCAGGGGAGACUGGAAUUCCUGGUGUAGCGGUGAAAUGCGCAGAUAUCAGGAGGAACACCGGUGGCGAAGGCGGGUCUCUGGGCAGCUACUGACGCUGAGGCACGAAGGCCAGGGGAGCAAACGGG